GUCGGGCAUGGUGGUGCAUGCCUGUGGUCCCAGCUACUAGGAAGGCUGAGGCAAGAGGAUCACUUGAGCCCAAGAGUUCUGGACUGUAGAGCACUAAGCUAAUGAGAUGUCCACAUUAAGUUCAGCAUCACUAUGGUGACCUCUUGGGAGUGGGGGACCACGAGGUUGCCAAAGGAGGGGUGAACCAGCCCAGGUUGGAAACAGCAGAUCAAAACUCCUGUGCUGAUCAGUAGGUGGGAUUGCACCUGUGAAUAGCCUGUGUUGCCCACUCCAGCCUGGGCAACAUAGUGACACCACAUCUCUG
ensembl:misc_RNA Metazoa_SRP Metazoan signal recognition particle RNA